CAAUAGCGUAUAUUAAAGUUGUUGCAGUUAAAAAGCUCGUAGUUGGAUUUCGGAGCCGACCGGGCGGUCUGUCGAGAGACACGCACUGCUCGGUGGCUCUUCCUCUCGGAGGCCCUGGCUGCCCUUAACUGGAGCGGGCAGGGGAUUCGGGACGGUUACUUUGAAAAAAUUAGAGUGUUCAAAGCAGGCCGGUGCUUGGAUACAUUAGCAUGGAAUAAUGGAAUAGGGCUUGGGUCCUAUUUUGUUGGUUUUCGGGACCGAGGUCAUGGUUAAGAGGGACAGUUGGGGGCAUUCGUAUUCAAUUGUCAGAGGUGAAAUUCUUGGAUUUAUGGAAGACGAACAACUGCGAAAGCAUUUGCCAAGGAUGUUUUCAUUAA
rnacentral:rRNA from 1 species